UACACGACCGUACCGCAAACCGACACUGGUGCGCGAGAUGAGUAUUCUAAGGCGCUUGAGAGAACUCAGGAGAAGGAACUCGGCAAAUUGACACCGUAACUUCGGAAGAAGGUGUGCCUUUAGUAGGUGAACCUGUACAAGGGGAGCCCAAUGAGGUUGCAAAAAAUCGGUGGCUGCACUGUUUAAUAAAAACACAGCACUCUGCAAACACGAAAGUGGACGUAUAGGGUGUGACGCCUGCCCGGUGCUGGAAGAUUAAAUGAUGGGGUGCAAGCUCUUGAUUGAAGUCCCAGUAAACGGCGGCCGUAACUAUAACGGUCCUAAGGUAGCGAAAUUCCUUGUCGGGUAAGUUCCGACCUGCACGAAUGGCGUAACGAUGGCCACACUGUCUCCUCCUGAGACUCAGCGAAGUUGAAAUGUUUGUGAUGAUGCAAUCUCCCCGCGGAAAGACGGAAAGACCCCAUGAACCUUUACUGUAGCUUUGUAUUGGACUUUGAACAGAUCUGUGUAGGAUAGGUGGGAGGCUUUGAAGUGUGGUCGCUAGAUCGCAUGGAGCCAACGUUGAAAUACCACCCUGGUGUGUUUGAGGUUCUAACCUAGGCCCGUAAUCCGGGUCGGGGACAGUGCAUGGUAGGCAGUUUGACUGGGGCGGUCUCCUCCCAAAGCGUAACGGAGGAGUUCGAAGGUACGCUAGGUACGGUCGGACAUCGUGCUAAUAGUGCAAUGGCAUAAGCGUGCUUAACUGCGAGACUGACAAGUCGAGCAGAUGCGAAAGCAGGACAUAGUGAUCCGGUGGUUCUGUAUGGAAGGGCCAUCGCUCAACGGAUAAAAGGUACUCUGGGGAUAACAGGCUGAUACCGCCCAAGAGUUCAUAUCGACGGCGGUGUUUGGCACCUCGAUGUCGGCUCAUCUCAUCCUGGGGCUGUAGCCGGUCCCAAGGGUAUGGCUGUUCGCCAUUUAAAGAGGUACGUGAGCUGGGUUUAAAACGUCGUGAGACAGUUUGGUCCCUAUCUUCCGUGGGCGCUGCAGAUUUGAGGAAGCCUGCUCCUAGUACGAGAGGACCGGAGUGGACACACCUCUGGUGUAUCGGUUGUCACGCCAGUGGCAUUGCCGAGUAGCUAUGUGUGGAAGAGAUAACCGCUGAAAGCAUCUAAGCGGGAAACUCGUUUCAAGAUGAGAUCUGCCGGGGCCUUGAGCCCCCUAAAGAGUCGUUCAAGACCAGGACGUUGAUAGGUCGGGUGUGGAAGCGCAGUAGUGCGUUAAGCUAACCGAUACUAAUUGCUCGUGCGGCUUGACUC
rnacentral:rRNA from 1 species